AUCGUAUCAACGGCAAACAAUAGUCGAAGCGGGCUGCGGAAUUCAUGCGCACGCAAAAACUUUUCACUCUCAAGAGUUCUCUCGCUUAAAAAUGAAAGGUACGAUGACUCACAUAGAGCGAGCUUCUUUGCGACUUGAUGCUGUAACUCCGUCUUCUCACGCCAUACAGAAUCCCCAAUAAACAUACUACUACGACGAAGAAUGCGAUAGAUACUCCUAUUAUUUCAGCAAAGAUACCUGCUCAGCAUUCGGAAACCCGCUCGUACUGUUUGUACUGUUGCUGGCGCUCGAAGAUGGGGGUAUAAUGUUGUGUAUUGGUCGAGGUGUCAGGGGAACUAAAAGAAAACAAUUUAUUACAAUUUAUAAGACUAUUACAGUUGCGAUCUCUCAAUUUACCGGUUAGACGAUUCGGACAUCGUAAGUCCCGUGUGGGUGAUGACAAAUCGUGCGGACAGACGCACUUGGACGAGUUGUCCUCAA